GUAUUCUGCACGGACUGCUGGGCAGCACUAGCACUCUGGAGAAGGUCUGCCGCUGUCUGCACUUUCCUGGUUCUAUGCAGGCAGAUGAGUGUCACAGCUGUAACUGAGGCACAGAGCAGUACACACAGUGGAGCCGAUUUCCGCGAUGGCGAGAGGGGGCACCGGAGGUGACAACAAUAACAAGACUGUCCUUCGGACAAGUUUUAGGAAGAAUGACUUGGGCAAUACCAAAUGUUGAGUUAUCAAGUAUUUCGAUACCCAUAUGCAUCAUCUGCUAUUCUCAGGAUGAUGGAGUGAGUGAUGGAAUAGGUUGCCAACUGUAGUUACUCCACUCAGCACAGAAUGGCUGCGGGGAAAUAUAAUCAGACAUGCCCAAAGAAGUCUGCUUAGGGUGAAACAAAUACCUUUGAGGUUUAAAUCAGAAAGGAAGGAGAGACUGUUUCUACAGGUGUCAUACAAAAAUCAAUACUGAGCCAAGGAUUAUUGGAUCCCAUAGAACCACGGAGACUUGGUAGUGAAAUUCUUCCAAAGCAUUCCAUCCGUGCAGGCAGAUGGUGUUCCUAGGUUUGGAAAUAUAAAUCCCAUGGGAAGUCAGCUGAAGACCAUUUUAUGCAUCACUCAUCCUGUUAGAGCCCUGUGCUGUUCUGUCUCUCUAUAAGACUGGCUGAAACCACCACGGUUGUUUACAAUUUAUGCUCUAACUUUGGAUCACCUAGUUAAUACUCUAACUCCGAUUAUUACCAAAGACAAUGUUCUAUAAAAGAUAUUGUCUAUUAGAAGGAUGCUUCUGCAUUAUUAAUAAAAUCACAGGGAAAAUGCAACAUUUUGGAUGUCACAUCUGAUAAGUUGGCAGUUAAAGAACAGAAACAGCAAUAAGACUGCGUGGCUACAUUUUCCCAGUGCCACCAACUGGGAUUUAAGCUGACUAACAUUUUGAAAGCCCAGCCCAUUUCAUUCACAGCAGGAUGGCAGUGGGUGACUGAUCGUACCCGCCAGCUGGCUAAUGUCAUAAUUAACAAAGUUGCUACUACAUCUGCAAAGUUUAAUCGAAAAAUUUGCCAGUGAUAUGAUGGCCUUGUCACAGAGAUCACAAGGGACACGGAGUUGACUUUUGCUCAAGGUGGAACGACAGAGCUGUGUAGGCAAGAUGAGAAAUUGCGAACUUGUUCGGCCAAAGGAGGCUAAUAAUGAAGGGGCCGGGAAGGAGGCCAGUGCUACCAGGGUUAUCUCACAACCUCAGAUGCUGGAUAAGUCGACGGAGGCAGAAUCGCUUUGGGAUGACAUUCAGAAAGCCUGGAGUGAUUACUUGCAAGAGAAAAGCCUACCUAUUCUUUCCAAGGUGCAGGAAUAUUCCCCUGACCUGCUCAUCCAGUGGUCCAGUAAUGAAUUACUGGAGACCUGCCUUAGACAAAGAAUGCACUCGGAGCCCCAACACACCUAAAGCCAUGCUUUGAAGGAUCUGCCAAGCUCACUUUUAAUCAUGAGAAAGAAAUUACCCACACGGAGUCAGCAGAAAAUGAGAAAGUAGAGCUCGUGCUGUGAAUAAUUCCAGCAAGUGCCAAGGGGCUAGUUGAGGAAUGGCUUCAUGAGAACAUGCUCUAGGGGAACUAUUAAUAGCCCACCAGUCGGGUAGGCAGCAUUCAAUCCUUCUAUGCCUUCUUUCGCCACCUGUUGAGGUCUUUCUUCUGAAACAAAGAAGAAAUAGACAAAUCAGACUUGCCCUCUUGGAAAUGUGGUCCAGAUUUCUCUACUCCCAAGCUCCAAAAAAGGUAUACAUUGGAUGGGCUAGAUCAACUCCUCCUGAGAGCCAUAAAUCCGCCAAGAGUUGUUUUCCAUGUAAGGGUGUGGUACAAUGGGGAACACCUGAUGUUGGAGGAAAGCAGGAGGACUUUAGAGUGGAGUUGCAUUCUAAUCUCUCUGCCGCUUCAACUAUGUGACCUGGGGCAAAUGAUAUAAACUCUAUGAGCCUCUUUCCUUAUCUUUAAAAUGAAGAGAAGUAAUACCUACCUUGUAGGGCUGUUGUGAGGAUUAAAUGAAGUAAUGCAUACAGUGCCUAACAAAGUAUUUAACAUCAUAUUUUUUAAAAGCUCAUGAAAUAUUAGUUUUUCUUCCUUCCCCUCUUUCUAUUUUCUCUCCUGUUCCCUUUUCUCUCCCUCCUCUGCCCUCUCCUUCCUUCAGAUGUUAGUCUAAAACAGCACCUUGGAUCUAAGCAGCACCUUUGAGAAAGAAAAGACUGCUUCAAGAAUGUCUAGUUGCACCUCCUUUCCGUAUGUGGCCUAAAUGCCUAGGUUGGAUCAAUAGUUUAAUUUUUUUAUUGAACUGUUUAAUAUUGACUAUGGACUUACAUUCACUUUUACUGUUUUCUGUAUAUUUACUUUUGCUUGAAGUGUUUUAAUAUUGACUAUUUACCUCUGCUCAUUUUUAUUGAUUUUCUGUAUUUUUUCAAUGAAAAUUAUAAUAAAAAUUAUUUUUGUUA
rnacentral:lncRNA from 1 species